rnacentral:rRNA from 1 species
UACGUAGGGUGCGAGCGUUGUCCGGAAUUAUUGGGCGUAAAGAGCUCGUAGGCGGUGUGUCGCGUCGGCCGUGAAAACCUGCAGCUUAACUGUGGGCUUGCGGUCGAUACGGGCAUCACUGGAGUUCGGCAGGGGAGACUGGAAUUCCUGGUGUAGCGGUGAAAUGCGCAGAUAUCAGGAGGAACACCAAUAGCGAAGGCAGCUCGCUGGGACGGUACUGACGCUGAGGCGCGAAAGCGUGGGGAGCGAACGGG